UCCCAUGCAGGUACGGUUUGAGCCUAGCUCCUCCCGACCAAACGUCCAAACGAGCGCACCCUUGCUGAAUUAUCUUCGUCUCCAUGCUCCGUCUACAGCCAGAGGAGCCCGGCCAGAGGCCUCCUCCUCCCCUCCGUUGCCCUAUAAAAAGCAAUGGCUAGCAUCAGGAUAAUCGAGUCCCUCACCGGCCUCUUGCCUCUUCCUUCUUCCAUCCUCCUCCUCCUCUCGGCUCUUUCGCUCUGAUCUGCUCCUCCCACUCCCACCACACUCUUCUCACAUGGCACCACCCACACGCACACAGGCAACCGAUGUCCCAAGCGUCAAACCUGCUGCUGCACGAUACGUCGUCCCCAAGAGGGGCCUCGUGCUGAAGCGGGUGUUCAAAAGCCUCCUCUCUUGGCUGCCGCGCCGCCGCCGACCGGCCCACCGUCACCGGAGGGCCGGGCACCUCCGGGGCAACAGCGCCGCCGCGCCGGUUCCGGAGGGCCGCCAUGGCCUUACUAACAGUCCAUUCUCAAGUGGAAAGCGCGUGGAGUAUAUACGUUCGUAAAUACUGAAGGGUCAAGCAGUACGAGUCCGGGCAGGUGACAGAAGGGGUGACCUAUCUGGAAGGGAUGUAGAUGGUCAACGCACGAGUCAAGCUAUCGGAGGAUCGAUCAGAGGGCAGUGCUUUGGUUUGGGUGGCGCCAAAAAUACACAAAGUGCUGCCUACGGCCUCCGGUCUUCUCGCGCAGUCAACGUUAUAAUUGUUUCAUUCGUUAUUAUUUCAUUAUUUGGUUGUGUUUAAGUAACUGGAUACAUAUAUGAUAUAUAGAUGGACAACACACAAAUUCCCGGUAUGUUGCUGUACAUACAUGGCGUGCGUAUGUUGUUCGUUCCGGUUCGCUCAUGUUUUUUCGUUCCUGAUUGAUGCAUGUGUAGUUCUAUGGUAACUUUCAAUAAAACAAGUCACCUGCUA